GGGAUUCUGAGAGCCUUGGAUCAGCUUUGAUCCCAACAGAGAUAAUCCAAAAGAAAGGCCUCAGCUUUUUGGAGUAUACAGAAGUUAUGGCAAAGGCCUACAUUAGACUACUGAAUGCAGAUCAACAAAAAAAAGGCAAGGAAGGAGAAGAAAAGCUAUGGAUACUAUCAAGAUUGAUAAAAAGGAGAUUCAAACAGGAAAGACCUCCUGAAAGAAGAAAUAUCUCCUUAUUCAACAGACAGCUUGGUCAUUCAGUCCAAAUGAACUUAUAAAGACUAAAAUAUGCCUUUCACUUGAUCAGGCAUGAAGAAAGAAAAAUACAAAAUAAUAAUAUUUUCUAAUGAUAAUUUACCAAAGGCACACAUGCCUUGCUGACAUGAAAUGAAAAAUGGGUUUUCAUAAACCAUGUCUUAAUUUUAAUGUCAAGAUUAUAU